rnacentral:rRNA from 1 species
CCUACGGGUGGCAGCAGUGAGGAAUAUUGGUCAAUGGACGGAAGUCUGAACCAGCCAUGCCGCGUGCAGGAUGACGGCUCUAUGAGUUGUAAACUGCUUUUGUACGAGAAUAAUAGUUCUUACGUGUAGGGAUUUGAAUGUAUCGUACGAAUAAGGAUCGGCUAACUCCGUGCCAGCAGCCGCGGUAAUACGGAGGGGGCGAGCGUUAUCCGGAUUCACUGGGGGUAAAGGGUGCGUAGACGGCCAUUCAAGCCAGGGGGGAAAGCCCGGGGCCCAACCCCGGGACUGCCCUUGGAACUGCAUGGCUGGAGUGCGGGAGGGGCAGGCGGAAUGCCUGGUGGAGCGGUGAAAUGCGUAGAUAUCACGCAGAACUCCGAUUGCGAAGGCAGCAUACCGGCGCUCAACUGACGCUCAUGCACGAAAGCGUGGGUAUCGAACAGGAUUAGAUACCCGGGUAGUC